rnacentral:rRNA from 1 species
UACGGGGGGGGCAAGCGUUGUUCGGAAUUACUGGGCGUAAAGGGCUCGUAGGCGGCCAACUAAGUCAGACGUGAAAUCCCUCGGCUUAACCGGGGAACUGCGUCUGAUACUGGAUGGCUUGAGGUUGGGAGAGGGAUGCGGAAUUCCAGGUGUAGCGGUGAAAUGCGUAGAUAUCUGGAGGAACACCGGUGGCGAAGGCGGCAUCCUGGACCGAGAUUGACGCUGAGGCGCGAAAGCCAGGGGAGCAAACGGG